ensembl:misc_RNA 7SK 7SK RNA
GGGCAAUGGCUGUGUACUGCCACCACACUGAUUGCCAGGGCUGAUGUGUCUGAUCUGGCUGGCUAGACAAGUGUCCCCUUCUUCCC